rnacentral:rRNA from 1 species
CACGGGCGGCUGCAGUGGGGAAUAUUGGACAAUGGGCGAAAGCCUGAUCCAGCCAUGCCGCGUGUGUGAAGAAGGCCUUCGGGUUGUAAAGCACUUUCAGUGGGGAAGAAAGCCUUGGGGCUAAUACCCUCGAGGAAGGACAUCACCCACAGAAGAAGCACCGGCUAACUCCGUGCCAGCAGCCGCGGUAAUACGGAGGGUGCGAGCGUUAAUCGGAAUUACUGGGCGUAAAGCGCGCGUAGGCGGUCUGAUAAGCUGGUUGUGAAAGCCCCGGGCUCAACCUGGGAACGGCAUCCGGAACUGUCAGGCUAGAGUGCAGGAGAGGAAGGUAGAAUUCCCGGUGUAGCGGUGAAAUGCGUAGAGAUCGGGAGGAAUACCAGUGGCGAAGGCGGCCUUCUGGACUGACACUGACGCUGAGGUGCGAAAGCGUGGGUAGCAAACAGGAUUAGAUACCCGUGUAGUC